rnacentral:rRNA from 1 species
CAGUAGCCGCGGUAAUACGGAGGGUGCAAGCGUUAAUCGGAAUUACUGGGCGUAAAGCGCACGCAGGCGGUCUGACAAGUCAGAUGUGAAAUCCCCGGGCUUAACCUGGGAACUGCAUUUGAAACUGUCAGGCUGGAGUCUUGUAGAGGGGGGUGGAAUUCCAGGUGUAGCGGUGAAAUGCGUAGAGAUCUGGAGGAAUACCGGUGGCGAAGGCGGCCCCCUGGACAAAGACUGACGCUCAGGUGCGAAAGCGUGGGGAGCAAACAGGAUUAGAUACCCGAGUAGUCCUUGUCUCUUAUAC